GUGGGGAAUAUUGGACAAUGGGGGGAACCCUGAUCCAGCCAUGCCGCGUGUGUGAAGAAGGUCUUCGGAUUGUAAAGCACUUUAAGUUGGGAGGAAGGGCAGUAAGUUAAUACCUUGCUGUUUUGACGUUACCGACAGAAUAAGCACCGGCUAACUUCGUGCCAGCAGCCGCGGUAAUACGAAGGGUGCAAGCGUUAAUCGGAAUUACUGGGCGUAAAGCGCGCGUAGGUGGUUUUGUAAGUUGGAGGUGAAAUCCCCGGGCUCAACCUGGGAACUGCCUCCAAAACUGGAUGACUAGAGUACGGUAGAGGGUAGUGGAGUUUCCUGUGUAGCGGUGAAAUGCGUAGAUAUAGGAAGGAACACCAGUGGCGAAGGCGACUACCUGGACUGAUACUGACACUGAGGUGCGAAAGCGUGGGGAGCAAACAGGAUUAGAAACCCUGGUAGUCC
rnacentral:rRNA from 1 species